GCUGUUAAAUAGUACACCACGAAGGGAAUUGAGCUAACUAGUAAAGCAUCCUAGUGCGUAGUUUAUGUGUUGCAACACAUUUUAUAUAUUGCUAGUUAGGGGUGAGAGGCUUCUCAAGACUUCCGAUAUCUUGAUUUCUAGGAAAAAUAUUAAGUAUAGGUACAGUCUGGAAAUACUAAGGUUUUCAGGACUCACUUAAGAAAUUUUAUUAAUUACAUAAAUUAUUUAAUAAUAAUUAGAUAUUGUAUUUUAGCAUAACGUAUUUGUUGAUUGUGGACUAUACUAGAAUUUACCUGCAAUUAGUUAGAGUAAUAUUACUGUUAAUAUAAGUAUUGUAAUAUGACUAUAUUAGGAACUCGGCAACCGUUUCCUCAACUGUUUAUCAAAAACAUAGCUGGAUGAAACUCAUAUUUGGUAAAUUCUGCUCAAUGACUAAUUAAAUAGCCGCAGUACCCUGACUGUGCAAAGGUAGCAUAAUCAUUUGGCUUAUAAUUGAAGUCUGGCAUGAAAGAAGAAAUGGGGAGAAGCUGUCUUUUAGAGUUUGCCAGAAAUUACUUAAUAAGUGAAAAUACUUAUAGUAAAACAAUAGACGAGAAGACCCUAGAAAUUUUAUAUAGCAGUAUUAAUACUACUACGUUAUUUUGUUGGGGCGACAGAAUAACAGUAAACUUAUUUUACACAAUUGGAACUUAUUUUUGAGUAAAUAUAAAUUACUCUAGGGAUAACAGCAUAAUGUAUAAAAGUUUGUGACCUCGAUGUUGGACUAGGGAUCUUAGCGUCUAGAAGGUACUAAGACAGGCUCUGUUCGAGCUUUUACCCCUACAUGAUCUGAGUUCAGACCGGC
rnacentral:rRNA from 1 species